rnacentral:rRNA from 1 species
GACAGAGGGUGCAAACGUUGCUCGGAAUCACUGGGCGUAAAGGGCGUGUAGGCGGGAAGGAAAGUCAGAUGUGAAAUCCCUGGGCUCAACCCAGGAACUGCAUUUGAAACUCCCUUUCUUGAGUACCGGAGAGGAAGGUGGAAUUCCUGGUGUAGAGGUGAAAUUCGUAGGUAUCAGGAGGAACACCGGUGGCGAAGGCGGCCUUCUGGACGGUAACUGACGCUGAGACGCGAAAGCGUGGGGAGCAAACAGG